rnacentral:sRNA from 1 species
AGGCAUCAAAGCACGAAAAUGCGUUACUGCUUGCAGCAUGAGCAUUUUCGUUGCUUUAGAGGCCUGCACGAACAUGAGCAAAAAAGCAGAAUUGCCUGAAUAUCAGGCAGUUCUGCGAUUUGCGAAUGUUUGGCAGAUUGCGGGAGCUUCGUAGAAGCGGAGCAAUCCGUUG